rnacentral:rRNA from 1 species
UACGUAGGCAGCAAGCGUUGUUCGGAGUUACUGGGCGUAAAGGGCGCGUAGGCGGUGCGGUAAGUCACCUGUGAAACCUCUGGGCUUAACUCAGAGCCUGCAGGCGAAACUACCGUGCUUGAGUGUGGGAGAGGUGCGUGGAAUUCCCGGUGUAGCGGUGAAAUGCGUAGAUAUCGGAAGGAACACCUGUGGCGAAAGCGGCUCACUGGACCAUAACUGACGCUGAGGCGCGAAAGCUAGGGGAGCAAACAGG